rnacentral:rRNA from 1 species
GGGUUGUGAGGUUAAGCGACUAAGCGUACACGGUGGAUGCCCUGGCAGUCAGAGGCGAUGAAGGACGUGCUAAUCUGCGAUAAGCGUCGGUAAGGUGAUAUGAACCGUUAUAACCGGCGAUUUCCGAAUGGGGAAACCCAGUGUGUUUCGACACACUAUCAUUAACUGAAUCCAUAGGUUAAUGAGGCGAACCGGGGGAACUGAAACAUCUAAGUACCCCGAGGAAAAGAAAUCAACCGAGAUUCCCCCAGUAGCGGCGAGCGAACGGGGAGCAGCCCAGAGCCUGAAUCAGUGUGUGUGUUAGUGGAAGCGUCUGGAAAGGCGCGCGAUACAGGGUGACAGCCCCGUACACAAAAAUGCACAUACUGUGAGCUCGAUGAGUAGGGCGGGACACGUGGUAUCCUGUCUGAAUAUGGGGGGACCAUCCUCCAAGGCUAAAUACUCCUGACUGACCGAUAGUGAACCAGUACCGUGAGGGAAAGGCGAAAAGAACCCCGGCGAGGGGAGUGAAAAAGAACCUGAAACCGUGUACGUACAAGCAGUGGGAGCCUCUUAAUGGGGUGACUGCGUACCUUUUGUAUAAUGGGUCAGCGACUUAUAUUCUGUAGCAAGGUUAACCGAAUAGGGGAGCCGAAGGGAAACCGAGUCUUAACUGGGCGUUAAGUUGCAGGGUAUAGACCCGAAACCCGGUGAUCUAGCCAUGGGCAGGUUGAAGGUUGGGUAACACUAACUGGAGGACCGAACCGACUAAUGUUGAAAAAUUAGCGGAUGACUUGUGGCUGGGGGUGAAAGGCCAAUCAAACCGGGAGAUAGCUGGUUCUCCCCGAAAGCUAUUUAGGUAGCGCCUCGUGAAUUCAUCUCCGGGGGUAGAGCACUGUUUCGGCAAGGGGGUCAUCCCGACUUACCAACCCGAUGCAAACUGCGAAUACCGGAGAAUGUUAUCACGGGAGACACACGGCGGGUGCUAACGUCCGUCGUGAAGAGGGAAACAACCCAGACCGCCAGCUAAGGUCCCAAAGUCAUGGUUAAGUGGGAAACGAUGUGGGAAGGCCCAGACAGCCAGGAUGUUGGCUUAGAAGCAGCCAUCAUUUAAAGAAAGCGUAAUAGCUCACUGGUCGAGUCGGCCUGCGCGGAAGAUGUAACGGGGCUAAACCAUGCACCGAAGCUGCGGCAGCGACACUAUGUGUUGUUGGGUAGGGGAGCGUUCUGUAAGCCUGUGAAGGUGUACUGUGAGGUAUGCUGGAGGUAUCAGAAGUGCGAAUGCUGACAUAAGUAACGAUAAAGCGGGUGAAAAGCCCGCUCGCCGGAAGACCAAGGGUUCCUGUCCAACGUUAAUCGGGGCAGGGUGAGUCGACCCCUAAGGCGAGGCCGAAAGGCGUAGUCGAUGGGAAACAGGUUAAUAUUCCUGUACUUGGUGUUACUGCGAAGGGGGGACGGAGAAGGCUAUGUUGGCCGGGCGACGGUUGUCCCGGUUUAAGCGUGUAGGCUGGUUUUCCAGGCAAAUCCGGAAAAUCAAGGCUGAGGCGUGAUGACGAGGCACUACGGUGCUGAAGCAACAAAUGCCCUGCUUCCAGGAAAAGCCUCUAAGCAUCAGGUAACAUCAAAUCGUACCCCAAACCGACACAGGUGGUCAGGUAGAGAAUACCAAGGCGCUUGAGAGAACUCGGGUGAAGGAACUAGGCAAAAUGGUGCCGUAACUUCGGGAGAAGGCACGCUGAUAUGUAGGUGAAGUCCCUUGCGGAUGGAGCUGAAAUCAGUCGAAGAUACCAGCUGGCUGCAACUGUUUAUUAAAAACACAGCACUGUGCAAACACGAAAGUGGACGUAUACGGUGUGACGCCUGCCCGGUGCCGGAAGGUUAAUUGAUGGGGUUAGCGGUAACGCGAAGCUCUUGAUCGAAGCCCCGGUAAACGGCGGCCGUAACUAUAACGGUCCUAAGGUAGCGAAAUUCCUUGUCGGGUAAGUUCCGACCUGCACGAAUGGCGUAAUGAUGGCCAGGCUGUCUCCACCCGAGACUCAGUGAAAUUGAACUCGCUGUGAAGAUGCAGUGUACCCGCGGCAAGACGGAAAGACCCCGUGAACCUUUACUAUAGCUUGACACUGAACAUUGAGCCUUGAUGUGUAGGAUAGGUGGGAGGCUUUGAAGUGUGGACGCCAGUCUGCAUGGAGCCGGCCUUGAAAUACCACCCUUUAAUGUUUGAUGUUCUAACGUUGGCCCCUUACCGGGGUUGCGGACAGUGUCUGGUGGGUAGUUUGACUGGGGCGGUCUCCUCCUAAAGAGUAACGGAGGAGCACGAAGGUUGGCUAAUCCUGGUCGGACAUCAGGAGGUUAGUGCAAUGGCAUAAGCCAGCUUGACUGCGAGCGUGACGGCGCGAGCAGGUGCGAAAGCAGGUCAUAGUGAUCCGGUGGUUCUGAAUGGAAGGGCCAUCGCUCAACGGAUAAAAGGUACUCCGGGGAUAACAGGCUGAUACCGCCCAAGAGUUCAUAUCGACGGCGGUGUUUGGCACCUCGAUGUCGGCUCAUCACAUCCUGGGGCUGAAGUAGGUCCCAAGGGUAUGGCUGUUCGCCAUUUAAAGUGGUACGCGAGCUGGGUUUAGAACGUCGUGAGACAGUUCGGUCCCUAUCUGCCGUGGGCGCUGGAGAACUGAGGGGGGCUGCUCCUAGUACGAGAGGACCGGAGUGGACGCAUCACUGGUGUUCGGGUUGUCAUGCCAAUGGCACUGCCCGGUAGCUAAAUGCGGAAGAGAUAAGUGCUGAAAGCAUCUAAGCACGAAACUUGCCCCGAGAUGAGUUCUCCCUGACUCUUUAAGGGUCCUGAAGGAACGUUGAAGACGACGACGUUGAUAGGCCGGGUGUGUAAGCGCAGCGAUGCGUUGAGCUAACCGGUACUAAUGAACCGUGAGGCUUAACCUUACAACGCCGAAG